GGUGGCUCAGUGGUAGAGUGCUUGCCUUGCAUGCAUAAGGCCCUGGGUUCAAUUCCCCAGGACCA
rnacentral:tRNA from 1 species